rnacentral:rRNA from 1 species
UGAUUAUGACGUACUUGUACUGAUUGAGAUUUUAACACGAAGUGAGUGGCGAACGGGUGAGUAACACGUGGGUAACCUGCCCAGAAGUAGGGGAUAACACCUGGAAACAGAUGCUAAUACCGUAUAACAGAGAAAACCGCAUGGUUUUCUUUUAAAAGAUGGCUCUGCUAUCACUUCUGGAUGGACCCGCGGCGUAUUAGCUAGUUGGUGAGGUAAAGGCUCACCAAGGCAGUGAUACGUAGCCGACCUGAGAGGGUAAUCGGCCACAUUGGGACUGAGACACGGCCCAGACUCCUACGGGAGGCAGCAGUAGGGAAUCUUCCACAAUGGACGCAAGUCUGAUGGAGCAACGCCGCGUGAGUGAAGAAGGGUUUCGGCUCGUAAAGCUCUGUUGUUAAAGAAGAACGUGGGUAAGAGUAACUGUUUACCCAGUGACGGUAUUUAACCAGAAAGCCACGGCUAACUACGUGCCAGCAGCCGCGGUAAUACGUAGGUGGCAAGCGUUAUCCGGAUUCAUUGGGCGUAAAGCGAGCGCAGGCGGUCUUUUAAGUCUAAUGUGAAAGCCUUCGGCUCAACCGAAGAAGUGCAUUGGAAACUGGGAGACUUGAGUGCAGAAGAGGACAGUGGAACUCCAUGUGUAGCGGUGAAAUGCGUAGAUAUAUGGAAGAACACCAGUGGCGAAGGCGGCUGUCUGGUCUGCAACUGACGCUGAGGCUCGAAAGCAUGGGUAGCGAACAGGAUUAGAUACCCUGGUAGUCCAUGCCGUAAACGAUGAUUACUAAGUGUUGGAGGGUUUCCGCCCUUCAGUGCUGCAGCUAACGCAUUAAGUAAUCCGCCUGGGGAGUACGACCGCAAGGUUGAAACUCAAAAGAAUUGACGGGGGCCCGCACAAGCGGUGGAGCAUGUGGUUUAAUUCGAAGCUACGCGAAGAACCUUACCAGGUCUUGACAUCUUCUGACAGUCUAAGAGAUUAGAGGUUCCCUUCGGGGACAGAAUGACAGGUGGUGCAUGGUUGUCGUCAGCUCGUGUCGUGAGAUGUUGGGUUAAGUCCCGCAACGAGCGCAACCCUUAUUACUAGUUGCCAGCAUUAAGUUGGGCACUCUAGUGAGACUGCCGGUGACAAACCGGAGGAAGGUGGGGACGACGUCAAAUCAUCAUGCCCCUUAUGACCUGGGCUACACACGUGCUACAAUGGAUGGUACAACGAGUCGCGAAACCGCGAGGUUAAGCUAAUCUCUUAAAACCAUUCUCAGUUCGGACUGUAGGCUGCAACUCGCCUACACGAAGUCGGAAUCGCUAGUAAUCGCGGAUCAGCAUGCCGCGGUGAAUACGUUCCCGGGCCUUGUACACACCGCCCGUCACACCAUGAGAGUUUGUAACACCCAAAGCCGGUGGGGUAACCUCUAGGAGCUAGCC